rnacentral:rRNA from 1 species
AUUGAACGCUGGCGGCAGGCCUAACACAUGCAAGUCGAACGAGUGGCGGACGGGUGAGUAAUGUCUGGGAAACUGCCCGAUGGAGGGGGAUAACUACUGGAAACGGUAGCUAAUACCGCAUACCAUCGGAUGUGCCCAGAUGGGAUUAGCUAGUUGGUGGGGUAACGGGUCACCUGGCCAACGAUCCCUAGCUGGUCUGAGAGGAUGACCAGCCACACUGGAACUGAGACACGGUCCAGACUCCUACGGGAGGCAGCAGUGGGUAAUAUUGCACAAUGGGCGAAAGCCUGAUGCAGCCAUGCCGCGUGUAUGAAGAAGGCCUUCGGGUUGUAAAGUACUUUCAGCGAGGAGGCGUUACUCACAGAGGAAGCACCGGCUAACUCCGUGCCAGCAGCCGCGGUAAUAC